rnacentral:lncRNA from 1 species
AGGGUUUUGACAAUCCAUGGAUCUGCUGAUGAAAUCAUCCCUGUUGAAGAUGCUGUGGAGUUCGCCAAGAUUAUACCUAACCACAAAUUACACAUUAUAGAAGGAGCUAAUCAUGGAUACACUUCACAUCAAGCUGAGUUGGCUUUGGUAGCUCUGAACUUCAUAAGGACAGGCCUGCAAGAAGGCAAGGAUAAACCCUAGCCAGGUAAUGCAGUGCCAUUGGUGGAUAAAAUUUAUUGAUUCAGGAGUCCAACACAAUUUGAAAUUUUAUAUUAAAGUUGAGUUUUUCAACAUUUUGUUCCUGAUGAAGAAUCCAAUAUGUUCAGGUGGCUGAAGGACCCUGCUCAUGAUACUGCUUGGCAUAAGCGCUUGACCAUUUUGGGUGUUAUUAUAUCAGGAUCCUCAUGAGAUGGACAUGAAUAAAUAGUUUGCUAAUUGGGUUUUAUUGCUCAUAUUGUUGGCAUGAGUCUAAUUUGUUGGAUGAAAUCGUUGAGAAAACAGUCUCCUUUGCUUGCACCUUUCCCUUCCAAGAAAGUAAAUGCCUAUUUCAAUGUGGAAGAGAGAACCCACAUGAUUUCCAGCAGCACAAAUCAGAAUGUAACACCAUUCUUAGAAUCCUAUUCAACCAGUAAAGCUUUUUCUUGACAGACAACUUUGACAUAAAGCAUGGCUAGUAAUUUGGGGGCUUCUGGACUUUUGAUUGGUCAUUUUAACUACAUUUGAUAGUGCUUCAAAUUUGGAUAAAACGAUUGAACUCAAUUUCAAAUUAAAUUCCCCACAGAUGUGAGAAAGGAAAAUGAAGUUUCUAGUACUGUGUUUUGUGAUGUUUUGUUCUUCAAAGAACAAAAAAAAUGAAAAAAAGAGCAUAGAUUCACCUAACUUAAUAAGCCAAAUAGUUGUAUUAGACAGAGUCAAGAAAGGGGGUUUUGUUUCCUUUGAUACCAAGUCAAGAGUAAUCAACGGGUGGUUGGGGGUUGAUUUCCAUCGUUUGCAAUCCUUACCCUUUUACAGGAACCAACUGGAGCAUUUGGUAAUUCAUGACUUCUUGUGUUUGUUCAUUGAAAUAUAAGAGAUUAGGUAGAUGGAAGUCUAGGGUGAUUUUGAAUGUGUUAGUUUACCUAGUAAAAGAGGAGAGUUGGUUUUGUUUGUUGAAUUUUGGGUCGUUGGUGGACUCCUAUUUACUUGGGUGUUGGAGAAAAGAAUUUUGAUUUAAACAAAUCAUUGUGUGUCAAUGUUAUCUAACUUGGUCUUGGCCCUUGAAAGCUUAAAAUAUUCCCUUGGACCUUUUCUAUUCCUCCUUUAAAGGGUUUGUAAAGGUUCAACAAUACAAGACUUUGAUGACUAAAAAGCUUCUGGAUUUGCUUAAGUCAGUAGCUAUGCCAUCAUGUUACAUAACCUAAGCUGAUUGUGAAUUUCUGUAUAUUUUAUUUGGCUUGAGUUUGGACACUGGGCUAAACAUUGAACACUGACACAUGAAUUACCCUGUUUCAGUGAUUCUGAAGAAGAAAGUUAGGGAUGGGUUUUGAUGCCAUGGAUUUUGAUGCACAAAGAUGUUGUUGGCCGUAUACUAACACUUUACUUUUUAUGCAUUUUUUAAUAAAAUUUUUGAAAGUAAAUAAAGUUAAAUAUAAAAAAUAAAUAAAUGAGCAUUUAUAGUUAUUAUGAACAUAAUAAAAAUUUUUAAUAGUAAUAUUAAUUUUUUCUUAUUCAUCUUUAAAUAUAACAUAAUUAUAUAGCCCUAGCAAAAGAAUAUAUGAUGCAAAAAAGAAAAAAAAAAAAGAAAAAAAAGAAGAAGCUCCCUUUUACAAAUUAUGUAGUGAGACAAAACGUAAUAAACCUUAAGUAAAUUCUUGUUCCAGCUUUCGAAUCACUUGGGAGAGUGUGGACUGUGGAGAGUCGAGACAGCCCAUGGAACAACCCGUCAGUAAUUAUCAUUCAGUUCUCUCAACCUCAUUUAUUUGCGAAAGAAGCCCAGUGCCCACUUUCCCUCUCCAUCGGGUCCGCUUCAUCUCCUCUCGCAAGCACAGGGCCAGUAGCAGUCUGAGGAUGGCUCAACCAGGUUCGAACCAUGAUGCACAAAACCCAGGUGAGCAAACCCAUCAGCUCAAUUCCUUUUUCUUUUUUUUUAAUUUUAUUUUCUGAUUUUUUUCUUGUGCUUUGAAACGAAUACCAAUGAAAUUAAGCUAUACCCAUUUUCAGAUGAUUGCAAAUGUGGGAGAUUCAGAUAAAAAAAAUGAAAAUGGAUGAGAUUAAUGAACACCCUUUUGGUUGUGUAAGUGUGGCAUGCUGAUUUCUAUUGAUUGAAUCUGAAGUGGAUUUGCUAAGAAAGAGUACAAGUGCUGCUGUUUUUCUUGCAGCGCUGAUGUGCUGUUUGGUUGGUGAGAACACAGAGGGGGAGAAAAUGAAAUACAGUUUUGAAUGAUGUUCUUUAAUGUGCACCAAAAAAAGAAAAAAAAAAAAGAUAAAUGCACUUAACUUGAUAUCUCGAAUCUGUUGUAUUUGGCACAGUGAAGUAGGGUUUUUGUUUCCUUCAUCUUAGGUUUGGCAGUUCAAUUUCUUAACGUCCAAGUAUUUAACCAGUGACUCUUGUGAUAAUAGAUGGAUAGGAGAAAAAGUUAUUAACACUAUUAUAUUUUUGGACUCUUCUUAAUGAUGUAGAAGGCCCAUUGAACCUAAAACAGACAACAUUUAUACAGGAGGGAGUGGACUAUUAUAAAAUGUUAUAAGAGCCAAUCCCCAACUUGAAGGGACUUGAUGUGGGGUCUUUGUCUAUUCGGCCCCAUUAGGGGUGUCUAUUUGUUUGGUCUCACAAUACUGAGGGAGACAACGAGGAUGUCACAUAAGGGAGAUUGUGAUAUUCUAUAUCAAAUAGGGGAAGAGGUUCCCAACACUAUGUGUACAAGCUUUUCUUAAUCAUGUAGACAAGUUUUAAAGUUGUGAGGAUCAAUUAGGCUUAAAGUAGGCAAUAUCUAUAUUGGAGGAAGCAGGUCGUUAUAUUCUUUGUGUUUAUUUGUCGACUUUUGUUAUUUGAGUGUAAAGGCUUUUUGUACAGGGAUCAUUUCAGCCUGUCAGUGUCAUCUUAGUCUGAAAUUUGUUCAUCUUGAGGUUUUAAAGGCUAAUGAUUCUCUUCCAAUAUUUCUCUUUCUUCUAAAAGGGCUGCAAAGGUUAAUGAUAGAUAAUUUACUGUAUGCUCCUUAAACCAAGUAUAGAUCUAAUGUUGGUUGUAAAACUUCCUACUUAGACACACAAUUUAUUUGUUAAUCGAUAAAUAUCUGGUGUGCAAUGCAUAACAAGGCCAUGCUGUUUUAUUCCUAUUAACAUAAAUCCUAAUUGAUAAUAGAAUUUGAGCCAUCAUAUCUUCAUGAAAUACUCAUUGAAAAAUUAAUGUGUUCAAAUGAAAGUUAGAUAAUUGGAAAGAUGGAUAAAAUUGAGAAUCUGGGCUUGGAUGUUUGAAAGUGGAACUUGAAUAGAGGAAUUUGGAUAAUUUAAAUUUGGUAAACAGAUUUCCUGUGUGAUUCAUCUAUAUUUAAUAUUGGCUUUAGUUUUUCUUCAAUUGACAAUUGUUAGAGAUAUUGAAUACUUUCACAUGAAUUACCCUGUUUCAGUGAUUCAGCAGAAGAAAGUGAUAAUAACAAACAAUCAUGGUGAAAAACUCAUGGGCUCAUUACAUGAAACUGGAUCUGCAGAAAUUGUAAUUUUGUGCCAUGGUUUUCGGUCCACAAAGGUUGGUUGUUUCGAUAUUUGAAGUUCUAUUUUGUGUUCCAUUUUGACUAUGAUGCAUACUAUCUAGUUCUUUUUUGGUUUUUUUGUAUUUUCUUUGUUGGGGUGGAGUGAGAGCAUCCUCUCCAAUUAAGGUGUAAGAUAGACCCAAGACUCAAAUAGAAUCGAGUUAGCAAGGCACUUGCCUGUUACUGUAUUGUCUUGGGAUUUCUCAUAUUGAAAUGGUGUUAAGGUGUUUGUAUGAUCUAUAAACUACUGCUUUCUAAUAGUAGCAAUACUUUUAGAACCGAAACAUAAACAGAUUUAUUGCAAGUGUGUUGGUUGGAGGACUCAAACAGUUUAACUUUCCAGCCCAGACAAAUUCUAUUUGAUAAAAGAAACUGAAAAAACUAAUAAAAUAAAAGAAUUACUUACUAGAUAAAGUGAUGAAUAUAGGUAAAAUUUGUUUUAAUGAAUUGCAUCAUGUACAGAAAUUUUCUUUUUAAGCAAUCUUAUGUUUAAACCUGGUUUGCUCCAAGAAGUCAGGAAUCUGAAAACCAUUGGUUGCUCCCUAGAAGACAAAUGAACUAUAGAUCAUUUUAAUGCUCAUUGGCAAUUUGUGGAAAAUUUUGAACUACCAAAUUUAAAGAAUUUAUUCUCUGGGAGUCUGGAGAUUGUGCAUUCAAGGUCUCAAAUCUUGUUAAGGGUCCAGAAACAUGGAUUCUAGGGCUCCGGCGAUUCAAUCUUCAUGCGAGGAGUCGAGGCUGAUCGAGGCCAUCGUCGGUGCUGCGUUGUGGGCUGAAGGAGGAGGAAAGACUGGUGCAGAUGAGGCCCUAUUGGAGGAGGUAUCCAGGUACUCUCUUCCCGAAAACUGUUCUCUUCUUAGUUUCGGGGAUCGGGGUCUUCUUUCUUCUUCUUCUUUUUUCUGCGGGGAAAAAAAUGAGGACGUUAUGGCUGUUCGGGACUUGGUGGCACUCGAGGGGCCAUAUGUGGUGAACGAAGAAGGGAGGGCUGACCCGUUGAGAAUCAUUGAGGCUGAUGGGAGGGAGAGGGAAAUUUCUUUCGACAUGGAGAAGAAUAUUAAGGAGAGUAAGGGGGGAGAAAUGACGGUAGAAGUUACGGGAAGAGUUUCGGAGGAAGAUAAUAGAAGUGUGCUGGGCUCGUGGAUGAAUGGUGAUUUUAUAAUCUUUGUAAGUGUCUGGGUAUGCCUACGGAGGGUUUUGAGGGGGAAAUUUUAUUGUUAUUAAGAAGAAUGGAAGAGUGAAAGAAUUUUAAGGGUGGUGUGGCAGGAAAAAAAAGGAAGGUUCAAAAGGUCUCCAAGUCAGAGAGAGAAUUGAAAAAACUGGAGUGUUCAGUGAAUUAUUGUGGGACUAGAAAGAGUGCGGGGUUGCUUCAGAUUGCUAACUGAAGUUUGGGUUUGUUGGUCCAGUGAGGGGUGAGGGGAUUAUUAAGAUGGAUGUUAUGAAAUUAAGAGUCUUGUCGUGGAAUGUUAGAGGGGCUAAUGAUAGUGAGAAAAGAAAGGUGAUUAAGGCGUUGAUCAAGAGUCAAAAGGUGGAUGUAGUGUGUUUACAAGAGACCAAAAUGCAGGAGAUGUCAAGGAUGAUAGUUAGAAGCCUCGGAGUGGGAAGAUGUCUGGAUUGGAAGGUGUUAAAUUCGAGGGGUUCUUCUGGCGGUGUGCUGGUGUUCUGGGAUAAGAGGGUGCUGCAUUUAUUGGAAGCGGAAGUGGGGAACUUUUCUGUGUCUUGCAGAUUCAAAAAUUGUGAGGACGACUUUUGUUGGUUAUUCUCUGGAGUUUAUGGGCCUUCAUUGAUGAAAGAGAGGGAAGAUUUUUGGGCGGAAUUAGGAGCGGUUAGGGGUCUAUGGAGUGAUCCUUGGUGUGUGGCAGGGGAUUUCAAUGUUGUGAGAUUCCCUGUGGAGAGCAGUAGGGGAGGCAGAUUAUCUGCUUCAAUGAGGAGAUUUUUCGGAGAUUAUGGAGGAUUUAGAGUUGAGGGACCUGCCUUUGCAAGGAGGCUCUUUCACCUGGAAGGGAGGAUUGAAUAAUCAAUCCCAUUCAAGGCUUGAUCGGUUUCUGAUUUCGAAUGAAUGGGAGGAUCAUUUCUCUGGGUCUAUGCAGUAUGUCCUUCCUAAGCCGACUUCGGAUCAUUUUCCAAUUCUUCUAGACGGGGGAGGAGUAAGGAGUGGUCCGAUGCCGUUCAGGUUUGAGAAUAUGUGGUUGAAGGAAGAGGGGUUCAAAGAAAAAAUGCAGGGGUGGUGGGUGGGGCUCAAUUUUAGUGGGUCUGCGAGCUAUGUGUUGGUUUCUAAAUUGAAAGCUUUGAAGUCUCUGUUGAGAGAUUGGAAUAAGCUGGAGUUUGGGAAAGUGGAGGUCAAUAAGGUUUUGGCUUUGAGUCAGGUGGAUUUUUGGGACAAAAUGGAGUUAUCUCGGACUCUCUCUGUUCAGGAGGUGGACGCAAGGAGAGGAGCUAAAGAGGAUUUUAAGAAGUGGGCUUUGAUGAAAGAGAUAUCUUGGAGACAAAAAUCAAGGGAAGUCUGGUUGAGAGAGGGGGACAGGAAUACUAAGUUCUUCCACAAGAUGGCUAACGCUCACAGGAGGGGGAAUAUGUUAUCCCGGGUCAAAAUAAAUGGUGUUUGGUUAACAAAGGAGAAUGAGGUUAAAGAGGGGGUGGUGAAUGAGUUUAAAGCUAUGUUGUCUUCUGCUGGAGGUUGGAGACCCAGCUUAAGGGGAUUGUCUUUUGAGAGAUUGGAGGCGGUGGAUGCAGCCAGUUUGGAGGAGCCGUUUUCGGAGCAAGAGGUGAUGGAAGCGCUUAAAGGUUUUUGUGGGGAUAAAGCUCCCGGGCCUGAUGGUUUUUCUAUGGCCUUUUGGCAAUCUUCUUGGGAGUUUGUGAAAGAGGAGGUCUUGGGGUUUUUUAGGGAGUUCCAUAACCAUGGCAGGUUUGUUAAAAGUCUUAAUGCCACCUUUAUUGUUUUGAUUCCAAAGAAAGGAGGGACAGAAGAUUUAAGGGAUUUUAGGCCUAUCAGCUUGGUGGGAGGUCUGUAUAAGUGGUUGGCUAAAGUUUUAGCUAAUAGAUUAAAGAGGGUGGUGGGGAAGGUGGUCUCCAAGGCUCAAAAUGCUUUCGUGCAAGGAAGGCAAAUUCUAGAUGCUGUUCCGGUGGCUAAUGAGGUUUUAGACUCGGUUUUAAAAAACAAGGAAGAGGUUGUGAUGUGUAAGCUGGACAUUGAGAAAGCGUAUGACCAUGUGGAAUGGUCCUUUUUGUUUUCAGUCAUGAAGAAGAUGGGGUUUGGGGAAAAAUGGAUUAGAUGGAUGAAGUGGUGUAUCUCCACUGUUAGCUUCUCCGUUUUGGUGAAUGGGUCUUCCUCAGGUUUUUUUCAAAGCUCUAGAGGUUUAAGGCAAGGGGAUCCUCUCUCUCUGUAUCUUUUUGUGUUGGUGAUGGAAGCUUUUAGUAGUCUCCUAAGGAAAACAGUAGCUGGGGGCUUUGUGUCUGCUUGUAAGGCAAGAAGUAGGGGUGGUGAGGGAGUUAAUGUGUCACACCUUUUGUUUGCUGAUGACACUUUGGUUUUCUGUGGAGCUUCCAAGGUGCAAUUGCUGCAUUUAAAUUGGAUUUUAAUGUGGUUUGAAGCCAUGUCGGGCUUGAGAAUUAAUCUUGACAAAAGUGAGCUUAUUCCGGUGGGUUGUGUGAAUAAUGUAGAGGAGUUGGCUGCAGCUAUUGGUUGUAAGGUUGGAAGUCUCCCAACCUCUUAUUUGGGCUUGCCUUUAGGUGCGCAGUAUAGGUCGCGGGCUGUUUGGGACGGCAUGGAGGAGAGAAUGAGGAAAAAAUUGGCUAGAUGGAAGAGCCAAUACAUAUCCAAAGGAGGCAUGAUUACUUUGAUCCGGAGUACUCUAGCUAAUAUGCCCAUUUACUUUAUGUCCAUGCUCUCUAUGCCUAGAAAAGUCAGACUGAGGUUAGAACGGAUUCAGAGGGAGUUCUUAUGGGGAGGUGGGGCCCUUGAGAGGAAGAUUCAUCUUGUUAAGUGGGAGCUGGUUUGUCUUGAGAAGGAUAAUGGGGGGUUGGGGGUCAAGAGUCUUUCUAUCCUCAAUAAGACUCUUUUAUGUAAAUGGAGUUGGAGAUUUGCUAUGGAAAGAGAGGCUUUUUGGAACCAAGUGAUUAGGGGAAAAUAUGGGGAGGAGCAAGGGGGUUGAAGUUCAAAGGAAGCAAGGGGGGAGACGCAUGGUGUGGGAUUGUGGAAAACUCUUAGGAAAGAAUGGGAAGUUGUGAAAAGUAGGCUUGUUUUCGUUGUGGGGAAUGGGAAAAGGAUAAAAUUCUGGAAAGACAUUUGGUGUGGGGAUGAACCCCUUUGUGUUUCUUUUCCUUCUCUAUUUGCAUUGGUUGUUUCCAAGGAUGCUUGGGUUAAGGAUGUUUGGAGGUGCAAUGAGGGUGGGGGAAGUUGGAGCCCGUUGUUUUCUAGACCGUUUAAUGAUUGGGAGUUGGAAGAGGUGUGCAGUUUUUUUGUGGCCUUAAAUAGGAAGCAAAUUCAGCAAGGGGUGGAUGAUAGGGUGAUUUGGAGAGAGACUAAUUGUGGGAAGUUUUCGGUUAAGUCUCUCUACAAAUCAUUAGUAUCAGGCCAUCCAAUCUCCUUCCCAUCGUCGGCUAUUUGGAAAGUUACGGCGCAGCCUAGAGUGAGUUUUUUUGGGUGGGAAACAACGUGGGGAAAGGCUCUCACCUUGGAUCAGCUUCAAAGGAGAGGUUGGGCUCUAGCGAACAGAUGUUACCUUUGUCAAAGACAUGAAGAAUCAAUUGAUCACAUUCUUCUUCAUUGUGAUAAGGUUAGAACUCUUUGGGUGCUGCUCUACUCAAUGUUUGGGGUACAGUGGGUGCUGCCUGCCACGGUUAAGGAGACGCUUUCGGGGUGGAAUGGGUCUUUUGUGGGGAAGAAGAGGAAGGGUGUUUGGAAAGCAAGUCCUUUGUGCCUUUUUUGGACGGUUUGGAAGACAAGGAACAAAGUUGCUUUUGAGGAAGAGGAGUUGUCAAUCCAAAGACUCAAGGCUUCUUUUGUUUAUUUUCUUUGGUCAGAGACGAAAAGGUCUAUAAAAGAUGGUCCCUCGACCUUAGUUGAUUUUGUUGGGUGGGUGGCUUCCCGUUAAGGGUGUGGAUAGGGUGGCUCUUCGUUCCUUGGCGGGCUGCUAGGGAGUGUGGGGUGUUUUUCUUUCUUUUUCUUUUCUCCUUCUUGUACUUUUAGCCACUGCUUCGGUGGUUUUUAAUACAAUCUCUUUAUUUAUCUAAAAAAAAAAAAUCAACCACUUUUUGGUAUAGACAUAUCCAUUUGGAGAAAUGUGAUCCAAUUUAGUAGCAUAAGAUAGAAAAUUAAAAUGAGUCCUUGGAAAUCAAUUAUAGAGACUCUAAUAUAUACUCUUCUUUACUUAUCAAAAAAAAAAAUCAAUUAUAGAGACAGAAUUUGUCAUUUAACUUCAAAAUAUUAUAACCUAAAUAUAUGCAUGAUAAGAAUAUGGUGAGUAGGGUGCAAAAUGUGGACUCUAUUGAGUAUAUGUGAACAUAUCAUGAGUAAGGUGCAAAAUUUGUACACUGUUGUAUAUGUGUGUAGAUAAGGCUUAACCCAUCAAUAUAGCUUUCAUGAUACUACUUCAAUGACUGGAUACAUAUCAUUCUUCUUAAAAAUGCAGUAUGUUUAUCUGAUUGGUUGAUGCUCAGGAGAGGAAUGAUUUUACAGCUCUUGUUUCCAUCUCCAGGAAAACAAUACCAUGGUGAACCUUGCUAUUGCUCUGGAAAAUGAGGGGAUCAGUGCCUUUCGCUUGGACUUUGCUGGAAAUGGGUAAGCUUGUAGUAUUAUAGGACAAAACAUGGCUCCUGAACUUGAAGGUUGCUUUUGCCUCUUGCCACUUAUUUGUUUAGCUGUUGAGUGAUAAACCUCACCAAAUUGUCAAGUGGCUUGCAUAACACAAAUAGCCGCUCUUUUUGCAGAUCUGAUCCCAUGCUGUAACUCAGUUAUAGAACUGAGCCCUCUUUUUAGCUGACAUGUAGUUUUUCUUUUGUGCUCAUCUUGCAAAAUUUUCAAUAAACUGUGUUUUUUGUGUACUUCUUCUUACCUGUGUUGGCUAUUUUAUUUUAUUUUUGUUCUUUUCACCUUCCUGUUCUGCUUUGCUUUUGGGAUGAGACCUAGGUUUGGCAAUGAGGAGAAAAUUGGAUAUGGACAGUUUUGAGGUAAAAUGGUUGAAUCCAAUUUGGACUCAAGCUUGAAAAGGGUUAUGCCCUGGCCCACCCUGGAUUUAAUUUCCUAACUAUCCUUAUACUUGCAUUUAAUUUCAUAUGUGCCAUUAUGCACACAAGUAAACCUCAAAUCUCCCUUUUUCUAUCCCUAGCCACAAUUCAUGUGCCUUGUCUCUUUCGUUUUUGCAUUGGAAAAACCAAUCACAUUCUCUUAUUUGUCACAGCUUGGUCUCUUUUCUUCUUUUAUUUUAUAUUGUACAAGGCCUCUCAACCUCUGUUUCGUGAUUAGAAUUUUUUUUUUCCUUCUUUUGUUGCUUGAAUUGUUCGUCAAUUUCUCAGACCCAUGGAGUUAAUCUGAUUUGACAAUCUCAAGAACUACAAGUUGAUCCUUGGUGUAUUAGGAUGUCCCAUGUGUUCACAAAAAGCUGAUUUACUGAUGAUUAAAGUUGCUAAGAUAGUUUCCUUGGGUGCUUUCAGAUAUUCUUGGCAUUUUUAAUAUAGCACACACUCUAUUUAUCUAUUUUAUGAUUCUUUAUUAUAAAUAGCUAGAUUUUUAAUAAGAUUUCAGUGUAAUAGAUCCUAAUAUAGAAACUUUGUUAUAUUAUACUCCAAUGGGCAUCAAUGCCCUACAUUUCACUAGUGACCGUACAGUCUACUCAAAGAUUUCAUAUGAAGACAUAACAGCAAGAAUAUUUCUGAUAGUAGUGCUAAGCGUGGUUGUUUCUUGCCUUCUUCUCUUAUUCUCUUAAAUCUAUAGUAGACAAGUAUAUUUGCAGCUCUUUAGAGAAUCAUUCUUUAGAUGUGUUGAAAGAAAAUUUAGCUGUGAUGAAAUCAUUUAAGCAUUUGGUAAACCAUGGUUCAAAAAAUGUUGUGUGAGUUUCAAAAGUAACAUUUAAGUGUUUGACAAAUUGAAUUGUUGAAUUGUUUUAAGCUUGUGCAAUGACCAAACAAGGAUGUUAAAUUUUCCCCAAUUUCAAUAUAUAUAUAUAUAUAUUGAUAGUUAAAAAAGAAUACAUUAAAAACCGCUAAAAAGAGUGCACCAAAGUACAUAGGGCGUAUACAACGACUGCCAAAAGAUGGACAAAAAAUGGGGAAACGGAAAACAAAAAAACUUCUUCCUCCCUUAGUGAGAACCCAACCAAUCAAUAAAGUCACACAAGGACAUUGGACUUUCAAUUAUGUACAAAUUGGUCCAAGAUAACAAGUUAUAAAGGAACAAGUUUUCAGUCAUUGGAUAGAAGGUUCCUUGUUUUUAAACAAUCUUCUAUUUUCCUCCUUCCAAAUUGUCUAAAAAAGGCACAAGGGAGUUGUUCCCCAUACUUUUUUUCAAUUCCUUCCCACAAAGGACCCUUGCCAACCUCACAUAGUCUCUUUUAUUGAGGAAGAUAACACCUAGGAUACUCUAAAGAUAGAGAACAAAAAUUGUCACAAAACCCUUGUCAUACCACAAUGUAGCAGAAUGUGGUCAAUUGACUUCCCCUGGAUAUGACAAAGGAAGGAUUUGCUUGCUAGGAACCACUUUCUCCUCUGAAGUUGAUCUAAAGUAGAGUUUUACCCCAGGACGCCUCCCAUACGAAAAUCUCACCUUCGGUAGAAUCCAAGAGUUCCAAACAACAACUUCUGGAAAAGGGGCUAAACUCCCAGGCUCUAAGCAAGUGUAAAGGGACUUCAUAGAGAAAGAACGACUCAUUGUCUCCAAACAGAUCACCUUAUUUUCUCCUUCCCUAUUCACCGCCUNNNNNNNNNNNNNNNNNNNNNNNNNNNNNNNNNNNNNNNNNNNNNNNNNNNNNNNNNNNNNNNNNNNNNNNNNNNNNNUCUAACAACUGUUGACGUUAGACUGAUUCCACAUAUUCGCCACCCAUGCCUCAUUUGAACUGGCUAAGGCAAAUAAGGAGGGAAAAGAAACACACAACAAUUGACAUGAAAUAUGGGAUGAAAAAUAAUAAAUUAUGUCUAUUAGAUUGAUUAUACACAGUUUAUAUAGGAGAUUACAAGAGAAGAAAUAGGAAACAAGAGACAUAAUAGGAAACUAACUUAUUCCUAAAUCAUAAAACUAUCAAUUUACAGUAAUAGGAAACUAAUAAAACUAUCUAUUUACAGAAAUAGGAAACUAACAAAACUAUCUAUUUACAAAAAUAGGAAACUAACAUAAUAGGAAAAUAAUUUUCCUAUUUUAUUUACAGCUCAACAACAAUUCAUUACCACACCACUUAUCCUUCCAGAUUUCCACCCUCCUUCAAUUGCCUACAAAAAAAAAGAUUUCAUUGUUAACAAUCACCCACAAUUUCCUUAUGGCUUUCCAUAACCGAAUCUUGUACCUAUCACUCACUCACUUCAUUAGAGCACCACUCCCUUCAACUUCUCUUUAUUUGCCCCUUGUAAUUUGCUUCCAAAAAUCCUCCUGUUCCAUUCAUUGCAAACUACCAAAACCAUUUGCUAAGAAGAGCCUUGUUGAUCAAAGCAAGACACCUCACAUCGAAGCCCCUUUUUUUCUUAUUUGACCAAACAAUAGGUCACUUCACUAAAUGAGGCUUUCUCUUUAAAUUCUCUCCAACCCAUUUUCUCUAAAUUCCUUCGACCCCAAAGGAAAUCCCUUUAAAUUUGUUCCAACCUCAACCUCACUUUCCUUUGCAUUUGGAAUAAUGACAUAAAGUAGAUAGGCAAGCUAGAUAAAGUGUUCCAAAUUAGCAAUAUAAAAUAUAAAUACAAAAAUUAUUGCAAAAGUGAUUUUGAGGACCUUGAAAUCACUCAAAUGAUCUAGUUCUAGGUGUCAAUCCUAAGAGUUCUAAAACUUUGCACUUCAAUUCAUAUUGAUUUAGUUAUACAUUAAAUAGUUAUCUGAUUUCCAGGGAAAGUGAAGGUUCAUUUCAGUACGGUGGCUAUUGGAGAGAGGCUGAUGAUUUACAUGCUGUAAUCCAACAUUUCCGUGGUGCAAAGCGUGUAAUACAUGCAAUUCUGGGGCAUAGUAAAGGUGUGCCAGUUUAUAUCUGUUCAAAUAUAAAGAUUUUAGCAAUAAAAAUAACAAAAGAGAAAUUUUCACUUUAUAAAUUGAUAAUUUUAUGGGAGUUUUGUGAAGAAGAUCAAUCUAAUAGAGCAUAAUGCUUUAACUUGGAUUCCAAGCCAUGGGGUACAACACUGAUUACUCUCUUAGCCAUUUUUAUUCUUAUUCAUGCAAUUAUUAUUGUUAGCAUUAGACAGAUAGAGGGGAUGGUGAUGAAGGGCUACAAUCAAAAAGCAAGUAUGAGUUUAGCUCAAUUGGCUGUAGUGCUGAGUGCUGGAGUUGUGGUGAUAUUACCUAUAUGGUUUUUUUUUUCUUCUCUGUUUCGCUCAUCCACAAUUUUGCUUUAGUGGGAUCUGCAGAUUAACACUUCUUGACCUGAGAUUUAACUUUGUUUCUUUGCUUAUCUGGGGGUAGAAUGGUGAGUUCUAGAUCCACAUACUAUCCCUAAUUCCACCCAUAAUUCCUGAAUAAAAAAAAUGCCCAAUUUAAGAUAUAGACAUUCCAUGUGCCUUGUCCAAGGAUAGAGAUUGUCAAUAGUUGGAAUGACAUUGGAUUUUAUAACCUUCAAAGGAUGUGGGGACAUGCAUCAUAUAGAAUUGUUAUGAAUCCAAUGUUUAGAUUUAGUAUGGUUUUCAUUUUAGAUAAUUAGCUUCAUCGGUCCCAUUGUCAUACACUUCUACUUUCAUUUUUUUUCUUUUUCUUUUUAAACAGAAUGCUUAGAUAGGAAAUGGUUUUUUUUUUUUUUUUUUUGGUCUCCCUAUAUUUCAAAAAUAUUCUUGUCAAUUUAUAAAAUUAAAAUACAUGAAAUCGAGUAAACACAAGUAUCAAAAAAAUAUAUAGAUAUUCAAGAAUUUUUAUUUUCAAAAAUAAUUUGUAUGUUACUCAUACUGAUAGGAACCACUGUGUAUGGGGGCUUUGUAACAUCAAUCCAUGGAACUGAUUUUCUGCAAUUACAUUUCUCCUCAUUAGUAUUUUCUCCAUGUACCUAUGAAAAAAAUAAACACAUAUGCAAAUGGCACCUUCAUCUUUCAUUUAUGCUAAAAUAUGUUUAGCCAGCUUAGAAAGGCAACUCUAAUAAUCAAGUAAUUGUCUUCAUGUACCCCUUUCUCUUUGAAUUCUUGCAUUGCUGAAUCUUGCAGGAGGCAAUGUGGUGCUGUUGUAUGCUUCAAAGUAUCAUGAUAUCCAAAUGGUUCUCAAUGUUUCUGGCCGUCAUAAUCUGAAGAGAGGCAUUGAUGAGCGCUUGGGUAAAGACUUUUUCGAAAGAAUCAAGAAGGAUGGAUUUAUUGAUGUUAAAAAUAAAACAGGUAACCUAUUAUUUUGUGUCUGACCUGUCAUUUUCUGUAUGACAUUCUGUUCAUUUAAAGUCAAAUCCAAUUCCCCCCUUGGAAUCCCAAACCCCAUCCUGAACAAAAUAAAUAAACAAACAAAGAAAAGUAUGAUGUGGGUGAGUCUGACGUGUUGUUUUCUGUGUUCAUACAUUGGCCCAUGUUUUGAUAUAUAUUUUCAUUUUUUUCAGCAGGUUUGACUGUUCUUUUAUCAUUUCCCUCAGGUUUUUAUUCUUUAUUUUUUAAAUGCUUUAACAGAAGAGAGUAAGGGAAAAUUUCAAUAAAACCUUUUAUCACCCUUCUUUGUUUUGAAUUCUAAAGAAAACAAAAUCUUAUUCAUUACCAUAUGAGAUUUGGCAACAUGCUCUACAGUUGUCAUAAUAUUAUAACUUAAAACAAGAAAGUUGGAUAUUGUGAUAUAUGGUUCCCUGUUUUCUCCAAUGGGGGACCCAACAAUAGAGUCUGUGUGUGUGUGUGUGUAUGUGUUUGUUUGUUAAUGUAUAUUAGAACUUGACUGAUAUCUACUUUGCAGGAAGUGUUAAUUAUCGUGUGACUGAGAAGAGUUUGAUGGAUCGCCUAAGUACUGACAUGCAUGAAGCAUGCCUUAAGAUUGAAAAAGGAUGCAGGUCAGAAAAAAUAAAUACAUUUAUCAGGCAGACUACAUCUACACUGUUUUUGGUUGAAAUAAUGUUCUUGUGUCUAAAAUAGGCACAUAAUUAAUAUUCCAUAGACUAAUAAAUUAAUAAUCUAUAUUAUCUAAUUUUGUAUAUGUGGAGUUCCAUUUUUCUUUUUGCUCUUGCUGCUUUUAUGGCUUCCCUUGUAUACUUCAUGUAUAUAUAAGCCUAGUCAUUUUUCCUAUUAAUAAAUGCUUAUUAUGUACAAAAAGGUUGCUAGUCAUAAAGGGGACUACUGUAAAAUGAGUUUUGCAAUAACAGUGCAUUGAUGGUCCAUCUUCUAUAUAUGAUGAAACCAUCCUUUUUUCCCCUUAAUUUGAGGUCCCAUGAGAUCAUUCAGUUGUCAGACAACAAAAGUGGAGUCAUUUCAGAAAUGGGAGCUCAUACAAAUAUUUCAACUGUAAGAAAACUUUAACCCAACUACUUGGUGUUUGCCAAUCAAAUCCUUUUUCCAUUAUCUUGUUCUAUUUGGGCAAUGUCUACUCCUAGUCCAUAGGUUUCAUCCCAAGUAAGAAAAGAUGAAAAGGUGCAUCUUAAAUGCUGUAAAGAAGAUAAUGGGCUUUUCAAGUCGUAUUCUAUGUAAAACAUUGACUGAAUCCAUGGACUCUGUUUGAGCAUGAUCUACAUUGUGGGCCAAAUUCUAAUAACUUAAGCUUUUAGAAUAACUCAACAUGGUAUCAAAGCUUUGGUUGAUCGGAAGUCUCAUGUUCAUGUCCUCCCCCCAUCUAUUUAUUUGUCUAAUAAUUUGUGAUCACAAAAAAUUUUCUGUCUAAUUAUUUGCUGUUGUGCAUUUGUCUGCAACUACUGUUGUCAGUGCCUCCCAUGGUGGGUAUCAGGCUGAUCACAAAUUUGUGAUUCAUCUAAGAGGUACCAGUGUGGGUGCUUUAGAGUUGUGUAAAGGCAUGAUAUACAUGGUUGUGCCUCCCACAGUGGGCAUGGGGUCACACAUGUGGGGUAUCAGAGAAUGAUUGACAUUGCUAUUAGGAAAGUUAGUAACUCAACAAGCUCAUUCCCUUGGAUGUUUUAAUACUCCCUCAAUUAAUUAGUUUAUUGUUUCCCACAGAAAUUUUUUUAGUUCAAAGCUUGGUUAUUGUCUGCAAUCUUGUUAUUCUACUUUUAGCUAUAAAUUUUGAGAUGAAUGACCUUGCCUUUUUAUUUAUAUGUGGGUGGAAAAUUGGGGUAUUUUCAUGGUUGAUGACUAGGUUAAUACUCCUAGAAUUUUGUAAUUCAAGGACCACAUGUUGGUGAUAUAUUUCAAAUGAUUAUUGUUUAUUAGUUGCCACAUUGAUAUUGUAUAUACAGGGUUUUGACAAUCCAUGGAUCUGCCGAUGAAAUCAUCCCUGUUGAAGAUGCCUUGGAGUUCGCCAAGAUUAUACCUAACCACACAUUACACAUUGUAGAAGGAGCUGAUCAUAGAUACACUUCACAUCAAGCUGAGUUGGCUUUGGUAGCUCUGAACUUCAUAAAGACAGGCCUGCAGCAAGACAAGGAUAGCCCCUAACCAGGUAAUGCAGAGCC